GAUCUCUCUGAGGCAGAUUGAGGAAGGCUGAGCUCUAGCUGGGAAGCGCUGGGCAUGGCUGCUUGGUGGAGAGAGAGACUGGGACAGAAGAAAUGCAGGACUAGCUGGAGACGCCAAAGCUGAGUGUUUCUUCAUCCAACACACGCCACUCCAAGAGCUUCCAGCAAGCAACCAUGAGGAAGGGAGAAGAGAAUAUCUUCACACUCCAGUGCUAUGAAAUGACAGCUGGAAAGAAGACUUGAGAGCAAGGCCUGCCUAUGCUAGAGAGGGGUAAAUUGAAGCAAGGGGCUCCCUAGUGGACUGAAUCAAUUACUGCAGAUUGGAAAAGGAGGUUAUAGACAAGAAGUGAGAUUUACAUAUAGAUGCUCGAUUGGUCACUAACUGAG